GGGUCCGUAGGUUGGUCGUGCCACCGGUACGUACUGGUCUCACUGAUUCCUCCUUCCUGAAGAACCGUAAUGCCAUUAAUUUGGUGUUGCGGGGAAACAGGACUGUUACUUUGAAAAAAUUAGAGUGUUUAAAGCAGGCUAACGCUUGAAUACAUUAGCAUGGAAUAAUGAAUUAGGACGAUCGAUCCUAUUUUGUUGGUUUCUAGGAUUGACGUA
rnacentral:rRNA from 1 species